GGGCCUAUAGCUCAGUCGGUUAGAGCGCAUCGCUGAUAACGAUGAGGUCGCAAGUUCGAUUCUUGCUAGGCCCACCG
rnacentral:tRNA from 3 species